rnacentral:rRNA from 1 species
UACAGAGGUCUCAAGCGUUGUUCGGAUUCAUUGGGCGUAAAGGGUGCGUAGGCGGCGCGGUAAGUCGGGUGUGAAAUCUCGGAGCUUAACUCCGAAACUGCAUUCGAUACUGCCGUGCUUGAGGACUGGAGAGGAGACUGGAAUUUACGGUGUAGCGGUGAAGUGCGUAGAUAUCGUAAGGAAGACCAGUGGCGAAGGCGGGUCUCUGG